rnacentral:rRNA from 1 species
AGUCGAGCGGAAGGCCCUUCGGGGUACUCGAGCGGCGAACGGGUGAGUAACACGUGAGUAACCUGCCCCUGACUCUGGGAUAAGCCCGGGAAACUGGGUCUAAUACCGGAUACGACCGGCUCUCGCAUGAGAUGCUGGAGGAAAGUUUUUCGGUUGGGGAUGGACUCGCGGCCUAUCAGCUUGUUGGUGGGGUAGUGGCCUACCAAGGCGACGACGGGUAGCCGGCCUGAGAGGGCGACCGGCCACACUGGGACUGAGACACGGCCCAGACUCCUACGGGAGGCAGCAGUGGGGAAUAUUGCGCAAUGGGGGAAAGCCUGACGCAGCGACGCCGCGUGGGGGAUGACGGCCUUCGGGUUGUAAACCUCUUUCAGCAGGGACGAAGUUGACGUGUACCUGCAUAAGAAGCGCCGGCUAACUACGUGCCAGCAGCCGCGGUAAUACGUAGGGCGCAAGCGUUGUCCGGAAUUAUUGGGCGUAAAGAGCUCGUAGGUGGCUGGUCGCGUCUGCCGUGAAAGCCCGCAGCUUAACUGCGGGUCUGCGGUGGAUACGGGCCGGCUAGAGGUAGGUAGGGGCAAGUGGAAUUCCUGGUGUAGCGGUGAAAUGCGCAGAUAUCAGGAGGAACACCGGUGGCGAAGGCGGCUUGCUGCGCCUUACCUGACGCUGAGGAGCGAAAGCGUGAGGAGCGAACAUGAUUAGAUACCCUGGUAGUCCACGCUGUAAACGUUGCGCGCUAGGUGUGGGGAUCUUCCACGAUCUCCGUGCUGGAGCUAACGCAUUAAGCGCCCCGCCUGGGGAGUACGGGCCGCAAGGCUAAGACUCAAAGGAAUUGACGGGGGCCCGCACAAGCGGCGGAGCAUGUUGCUUAAUUCGACGCAACGCGAAGAACCUUACCAAGGUUUGACAUCACCCGGAAAGCUCAGAGAUGAGCCCUCAUCCGGACUGAGUGACAGGUGGUGCAUGG